AUUGGUCUUUUAAAGCAGAAUUUUACAACUAGAGGAGAACUUAGAACUCAUCUAUUUCAAUUUCCUCACCAAAGGCAGGAAGAAUGUUUAAUUACCCUAAUGGUUUACCCUAAUUUAUUUAUCAGCAGAAUUAGCUUCCCAGCCCAAGCUGACUUAGAACAGGACUGGCACAGAUUCAUCUGCUUUCACUAGUCCUUUAAGGAAAGAGGGUGGAUGGGGAGAGGUUUUGGUUGUACCUGUUCCUGCUGGCCUGGUGCCUGGUUCCUAGGCAUCAGGCCAGGCCAGAGGCCUUCUAGGAGGCUCUGCGGUAGGGAGGGCCACAUGGUUGGGGAUUUAGGGGCUGGCCUCACUCAAAGCUGACGAAAGGUAGAACCUAUGAGUCCCUUCUGUAAAGUGGCAAGAACACUUCCCUUCUCACCCUACUGUUUUUCAGGCCGCUACUCUCUAUUCCCUUUAUCCAAACCUCAUAGAAUUUUAACCGGGAGAAACUUUUAGACAGCAGUUUGUCUCUUCCUUUUAUAAUAAGGAAAUGGAGAAAGAGAAAGGGAAAAUAUCUUGCCCCAUGGUCAUACUGGUAGUGAUUAUCAAAAAGAAGAGGGUCCCUUUCCACUGAGGACUUCUCUACUGAUCACACUGUGCUUGGGCUGUGAGCUCCGUUUUAUGUCACAAUUCAGUAUACACAUACUAUAUGGGCAUAAGUAGUUUCUGAAACUAACUUAUUGUGCACUCUGAGUUUUUUCUAUUCUAUUUGUAUUCAAAAAGAGUAUUUUGUGUUUCCCUGCUGGUCAUGGCCUUUAAACUGAUUUCACAAUUCACUGACACCUCAGUGACAGCCUGCAAUAUGAAAGUCAGAGAGCUAUAGAUAACUUUGCUAGUUGGGUUCAGGUGUUUACUUGGUGUGAUUCAACUUAUAGGAUAGGAUAGAGCAGCCAGGAAAAUAAAAGCACCUUCUCCCCACAGCCACCCCCCCAGCAAAUGCUGCAUGUGCGACUAAGUCCGAAGCAGACUGGUGUGAAGCGCAUCUAGAGAGUAACGUGUUUCUGCCCAGCGCCGCUGUGCAGUGUUUUCUCUGCACGAGGGCUCUUGGCCAAGGGCCAAGAAAGGUGAACGGGGCUGAAAAUCCUGCCUAUACUCCACGCUAAGCCACAUGCAAAGGUCUCCCCAGAGACACGGGGGGGGGGGGGGCGGCCAUUUUGGACAGACACGGAGAACUUCUGGAAAGCCAGCAUGCAUGGGAUGAUUUUCAAGAUCCCGGGUCUGUGGUGAUUUUGCUCAUUGUGAUUAUGGACUGCGGUACCCAUUUAGUCCUAAUAAGACCAGAGAUAACACAUUGUGAGAGAGAUGAAAAAUGACAUGUAACACUAACGGUGUGUGUUUUCCUCUAAGGGGCUUUUUUCGCUUUCUGCUGCGUAAGAGAAGCUCAGGGGAAAGUGAGAGUCAGGAGGGCUUUUUCGGGAGAAGGCAGCCACUUUGGCUUAGGGAUAUGUAUAGGCCUCUCAACGCCACACGCAAGGAAAACAUGGCACAGAAGCUACACGACAGGGAGUCUUCUGAUGAGGAUGGGAUAUUCUAUAAGGAUGCAGGGGAAGUCAUCAAAGCCCCAGCAGAGAAGCUUCUGGCUGCAUAUUGGGUUGAUGAAGGGGCGGGUGAGGAAAGUGAGUCAGCACACGAGACAGCCACAGAGUGAGCCCUGUUCUGCCUCAAGCCACCUGCAAAUUUUAUUUUCUAAUAUUGGCUUCUCAGCAUUGCUUGCAAAAUACUUAUUUUUCUCAUAGUAAAAUGUAUAAAUUCAUAGCCAAGUCUAACCAUGUGGUAAGGAAUUAAAAUGUAAAUAGUUGAAUAUUUAUACACCACUAACAAGGGCCUGCAAGAAGAAGCAGAGCUGAAACUAGAAUCCCUCAUGGUAGCCAGUACUUCCACAAGAGGAAAUGUGGGCAAAGGAGGAUGAGUAGAAGGAUGAAGAGGGACUUCCCUCCCUCGUUUCCCCAGUAUCAUCAGUCCCUGGGAACUGGAAAACAUACCAUCCUCAAGGGGCAUAGAUCAUUAAAUCAAAUAACAAUUUAUUCUGGUGCUCUCUCUCCUGGGUCAUCAAGUACCAGUUAUUUACAACAUGCUUGACCUCCUGCCCAUAGAGGACCAUCUACUUCUGGCCCCUCUCGUACGGUCAUUGUGGUUGCCAGAAUAUUUGGAUCACCGGGCCUCCCUCCACUGUGGAGCCAAGGCCUGACUUUUCUCCCAAGUUCUCAAACUCAUGUACAAAUGUGUACCCUGUCUUGGUAGGGGGUUCUCCACCAUUUCAAGCUGGUGGAAAAUUCCCAUUGGGUUGUUUUUUUUCUUUAAAAAGAAAUCCCAACCCUUGGAUAACUAGCAGGGAGGUACCAGAAAGACAGGGUAAAGAAGAAUGUGUGAGAGCAGCCAUUGCCCAAGACGGCCCUCCUCAGGCCCUGGCCUCUCCUGACCCCACUGAGGGUCAGCUGUGUGCUGCUCGGCUCCCUCCAGCUCAGCCCAGCCCCAAACCUACCCACCUCCUGCCUCACCCAGCACAGGCCCAGGGCUGCAUGAUUCCAAGUGCUUAUAUAGUGACAGUGCCACCUGCGGAAGGUGCAAAGGCUCUUCCACUCCUGCCAAGAAAGUCAUUAAUCACAUUUCUUAAGUCAGUGAGAGUUAAAUACAUUAAUGAGUAAAAGAAAUUCUGAAUGAACAAGAUUUGAUAAUCUACCAAAAUGACCACAGACAGUGCUGGUGGUUUAGUAAUAUGAGGUGAAGAACUGUGCAAGCCAUGGGGUGAUAGCACACGGUCCCCCAGAGGAUCAGUGGGCCUGGGAGAUAGCCCAGCAGGUUCUGCCAGUUGGGUGGGGUUCCAAGCAAAGUGAACGGCCCAUCAGUUCUGAGUUAUGAGUUUGCUGAUGCUGCAUGAGAGACAUCUGUUCUCUCAGUGCCUGCCCAAGUCACCUCCCAAAGGUUCUUACUGAGAAUGAAAAACAAGUGUUUUUCUCUGGGCGGUGACUUCAGUGAGCCAACAAGUAUUUACUGUGUUUAAGGCGCAUGACUAAUACUACUAACUAUAGGAAGCAGCAGCAGCUAACACUUACCACUUGCUUGCUUGGUGCCAAGCCCUGGGUUAGGCAUCUUAUGGUCUUAUUUAGCCCAACAGUCCGUGGAAGCAUAUCUUGUUAUCCUCAUUUGACAGAUAGGAAACAGGAUUUAAAGAAUGUAGGUAACCUGCUCAAGGACCCAAGGCCCCACGUCCAAAAGUGUGAGUUAAGGUUGGAGCCCAGAACUGUUAGACUCCAACAGGGAUGCAGAGAAGUAUAAGCUGUGUUUGCCACCAAAGAGUUGAUAACAAUGAUAAUAAUGAGGAGAAGGAGGCAGCUGUUUAUUGAGCACCUGCUAUGGACCAGGUACAGUACUAGGCACUUUGGUUACACUAUUAGGUCACAAGAAUGGAAAGUCCCCAUGCCCGCUCAAACUCUGUAAUGAGUGGGGGUCUGAUUUCAGUAAGAGAGGUGGUCACAAAGACAGGGAGCUGACGAGAAACCAGGGGUAGAGAUCCUUGUACUGCUGGGCUUCCCAAAGUGUGGACCAGGAUUCCAGGUAGCUCCAGGUUCCUAGUUUGGGAUAUUUCCAUUAUUUCAAAGUUGGUACAUAAAUGAGGCUUAGAUAAUAUUUUUUGUAUCAUACUACCUCAGAUUUGCACAAUUUUUUAUUAGUCUCAAAUGCUACCCUACCAUAUUUCUAAAUUAAAAUUGCCAAGAGUAAGAUUCUGCUUGGCCCAGCUUGACCGAGAUUGGGCAGUGUUUUUGCCAGAGCCAGAGACUUCACCUGGCCAGCCUGUGAGUGAGCUGUCUCUCCUUGGAUCAGGGAGUCAUCCCUGGCUGUGGCCCAGAAGCAGGAGGGGUGCCCAGGGUCAGGUGGUACAACACAUGGCCGCCUGGGGCUGCCUCUGUCACCAUCUUAUGAUGGACAAACUAGCUCAGAGCCCAACUCCUUACUGAGACCUGCGAGAUAGAAGGGGAGAGGGAGAUACAAGGCCAACAGCUACUAAAUGAAUGCAAAUUCUGAUUCCGAUGAAAUCUGUCAGAGAAUUUAGCCACUUUUUAAAAGAUAAUGAAAUGAGACAAUACAUGAUUAGGGCAAAAAUGAUACAGGGAAGAAAAUUGUAGGAUUCAGAGGAGGGAAGGUUAGGAAACUAGGGAGGGUCCAUGAAAAAGGUAGAACUUGAUCUGGGCCUGGAUUAUAUGCCAGACACUGUGGCUGGUGCUGGGGAAAGAGUGGAUGAGGACAAAGUCCCUUGUCUUGUGGGGCCUUAAGACUGAGAGGAGGCACAGACACCUGAAGAUAUAUUAUACAUAGAAGACAGUGUGUUGACAUGACAAUGGCAGUGUACCAAGAAGUGGUUCAGCUCUUGGUUGGCUGGAAAGGAGUAAAUGUGAGGGAUGGCUUAGAGGAGGGGAAGAAGAAGAAAGCCAAACAGAAGUUUCUUGGGAGGACGAGAUGAAGGAAAGGCAUUCUAGACGGAGGACAGUACAGAGGCAAGAAGCAUGAAACCUUGGGUGGGCUUGAAGCGUGUGCAGUCUGGUGUUGCCAAGCAUGAAGCACAAGGAGGAAAGGGCAGUAGGUGAGGCUGUGCGGGCGAGCAGAGACCCGAUCCCAAAGGGCCUGGUCAAGGCGCAUGGCCUUGACCAAACAGAGCACAAACUACAAUGUUUUAAAUAGAGAAGAGACAUGACCAAGCUUGAGUUUUAUAAAGAGUACUUUGAUGGUGGCCUAAAAGUAGAGAGGCCGAGAGGUCAACUUGGGUGUUUAGACCAAGUAGGAACUGGGAGAAAAUGGGGCACCAGACCAGGGGUUUUGAUGCAACUGAAGAGCAUGUACGCUGGAUACACAUGAGUGAGAACUGGAAGGACAAGAGCUUAUGUUCAGAGAAUGAAAGAUUGUACAUUUAAGAUUUUUUACGACAAAUUCCAGAUGAUGAUAAGGUCCAAAUGUAACCUGGGAAUGGAGAUCAGUGAGGUGUUGGGAAUCCAGAAGGUGAUGAGAAAUAAUUCGGAUAGUCCUGGGCACUCAUUCCUUUCCCCUUUCAGUAGCUCAGUAAAAAGCUAGCUCAGCAGGUACCAGCGAGCUCAAUGGAACAAAUAGGCUCCCCCUCCUACUGCGACCAUUUCUGUCACCAAGCAGUUGCCACUGUUAGUAGUAUAGACGUUCCCUGCCUCACCAUCCCUGUAACUGUGACGCACUCCAGGCUGGCUCCUCCUCUACGGGAACUCUGGUCAUGGGACACACAAUCCAGCUAAGUCUGGUCUAAUCCCCUUCUCUGAAAGCUUGAGGGAUUGAGUGCACCCUGUUAUUGUUCUGCUUAUAAGUUCCCCCCCCCCCGAACAAUAAAAGCCUACUGUAUAUUUGCACAGUAGGGGGUUGAGGAAUUUCGUGCCCAGGAAAAUCUGUGGGUUGUUGGCAUGGUAAGUAUUGUGGUAGAUGUGGAACCUAGAAAAAUGGUACAGAUGAGCCGGUUUGCAGGGCAGAAGUUGAGACACAGAUGUAGAGAACAGACAUAUGGACACCAAGGGGGGAAAACUGCGGUG